GUUUUGAAUCUAUCUUUUAGUAAAAGAAUGGCAACUAACUUUUCAAAUGAUAGAAAUUAUCAUUUUGAUUUUGGGCACAGAAAUCUUGGCCAUAUUUUCAUCCUUUUAUUACAAUGUACAUGCAACAUACACCAUGUACAUAUAUUUCUAACUUAAAGCGAUACUAGCUGUCAAACUCAUGUUCACCGAUUUUAAUCAAAUUCUCAUAUUUUAUUUAUAACAAUGUAAAACAUUUAUCCAAACUAUUAAAAGUCUAAAAUAAACAACAAACAGGGCACCAGCAUGAAAAUACGUAGCUUCGUUUCGUGUGAAUUUUAGUCCAGACGCCAUCUAAUUAAUUAUCGUGUUGAACUCUAAAAUCAUG
rnacentral:lncRNA from 1 species